CUGAUUAUAACAAUCGAUGAUUUAAAAUUAAAAAUUUGAAAAAGAAUAAUCAUAAAUGACUAAAGACUUGAAAGUUUAAACUUCAAUAAUCGACAAAAAUUGCAAAUAACUAUAUAUUUACUAUAGCUUGUCCGAUGACGACGUCGACUCAUGAUUUUAAGCUCUUGUAGUUUGUUGAUCACAAUACAUAUUAUUCAUUGAUUAAUUAUUAAUAUGUCUAUUUUAAGGAUGAUAAAAACAAAAUUUAAGAAUUCAUGGUAUCGUUUUAAAAAUUAUUUCUUCAAUUAUGUAUAUACUCAAAAUGUAACCUAUGAACAUACGUGUGAUAUAUUACUGGAGCCCUUAUUUAAAAUUGUUGACAAAUAUACUGCCAUUUUUGGAAAAAUUAUGGUUAUUCUAGUGAUUGUAUUAACGACAUUUGUUGUUGUCAUAGCUUACUGGAUUGGUGUACCAUAUUGGUGGAAUAAUAAUAAACUUUUAACAGUAUUCUUGUUAAUAUUUGGAAAUUGGUUAUUAAUAAAUGUUAUAUUUCAUUAUUACAUGGGAGUUACUACACCACCUGGAUUUCCUACUUCAAACUGUUUGAUAUAUAAUGAUGUAACCAUUUGUAAGAAAUGUGAUUCUCCAAAGCCACCCCGUACACACCAUUGUUCAAUUUGCAACACGUGCAUCCUCAAAAUGGAUCAUCAUUGUCCUUGGAUAAACAAUUGUGUUGGAUUUUAUAACCAUCGUUACUUUUUUCUCUACAUGGUCUACAUGACAUUAGGUUCAUUAUUUUUGAUAACAUUUGGAGCAGACAUAGUUUUCACAGAAGUUUUCUAUAAAGAAGAAGAUCCAGUAGGGCAUCCAGUUAAAGUCAAUACUUCUUUACCAAAAGCAGAUUGGGUUUUAACAUUUCAAGAUGAAUAUGAAAACCACAAUUUUGAUAUUGAUCAUGUUGCAGAAUGGAGAUUUUGGUGUAUUAUGGUCAUAACUUUUAUAACAUGUGGAGUAUUUAUCGCGUUAGCUAUUUUAACCACGUGGCAUGGUCUAUUAAUAAGUUAUGGCGAAACAAGCAUUGAAGGGCAUAUAAAUAAAUUUGAAACAGAAAGAUUGUCAGCUAUAAACUUUGAAUAUGUUAAUGUUUAUGAUUAUGGUAUGAAAAUGAAUUGGAUUAUCUUCCUUGGACUACACAGUGGAAGAAAUUGGAGACAUAUUGUAUUUCCUUCAACUCAUAAACCUAUAGGAAACGGAUUCAUAUGGCCAACCAAAAAUGAUAUAUUUGAAGUGUUUUAUUAUUAUAAACAGUAAAUAUGUAAUGGCCAAACAAUUUGUUCUAUCCAAGGUAAAAAUGCUGAAACUUUAGUGUAUACACCUGGUGAAUUUUCUGUUGCACACAAUUUUCCAAAUGAUGUUAUCCCAAUUAAAUUGAAAACACAUGCAUUUUUCUCUGAUUUUACUACGAGUGGUCCGCCAGAAUCACCCUAAAUAAAUUUCAGAACGUGAAUCAACUAUGCUUAUACCACUCACUAAGAUAAAAUUCUAUCUUUGUCCGUAUGGUAAAAUGGCAAAAAAAUCGGUUUUUUCCAGGCGGCGAGUCCCCUUUACAGCUAAUGGGUGUAUCCUCAUCUAGGACCCUCUGUAUAUAAUAUUGAAAUGAGCAAAAACAAGACAAUGUCUUUAUAUCUAAUUUUUUUAGAUUCUGAGCAGUAUGUUAGUACUAAUUAGAGGGAGCAAUGAAUUAUGUAAUAUGUAACUUAUUAGCUUUAAACAAUUUUAAUCAGUAAAAAAAAAAAUUGAAUAGGUAUUUUAAAUUUUUAUAUUUAUUUUUUUUUAAGUUAAAAUAUUUAUUGAUACAUGUUUAACAGCUUGUUAAAAUAAUUUUAAUAUUUUAUUAGAUAUAUCAUUAAAUUCUCACUAACAAAUAGAUAAUAAUAUAGAUAUGUAUAUUGUAUAUACGCUAUAUUAUUUCCUGUGUGAAUCAUUUAUCGAAAAUUUGCAACUAUAUACACUUCUGUAUCCUAAAUAUAUUAUUAUACAUUACAGGAAAUUGUGUGAUUGAUUUUAUUUUAUUUUUAAAAAAAAUUUUCGCAGUUAUUACGCAAAUGGCAAGUCCUGUUUUUACCAAAUGAUACCAUGGUACCAAACAUUCAGCUAGUCUUAUAUAAAUAUAGACCUUAGUCCAAUUACAAUGUUAACACUAUGUCACUAU